UACGUAGGCAGCGAGCGUUGUUCGGAAUUACUGGGCGUAAAGAGUGUGUAGGCGGUGCUCCCAGUCUGUUGUGAAAUCUCCCGGCUUAACUGGGAGGGUGCAGCGGAAACUAGAGUGCUAGAGGGUGGGAGAGGUAAGCGGAAUUCCUGGUGUAGCGGUGAAAUGCGUAGAUAUCGGGAGGAACACCUGUGGCGAAAGCGGCGCACUGGACCAUAACUGACGCUGAGGCGCGAAAGCUAGGGGAGCAAACAGG
rnacentral:rRNA from 1 species